rnacentral:ribozyme from 1 species
UGCCCAGCAACUCCUCUCCCCACCUCCUCGUGGUACUGGCCGGGGUACGAGUAACCUUAGGGAAGAUCGGGUAACCAAUCCCGGUGGGAACUCUGAUCGUAUACUGACAGAGAAGG